rnacentral:rRNA from 1 species
AUUGAACGCUGGCGGCAGGCUUAACACAUGCAAGUCGAACGAGUGGCGGACGGGUGAGUAAUGUCUGGGAAACUGCCCGAUGGAGGGGGAUAACUACUGGAAACGGUAGCUAAUACCGCAUACCAUCGGAUGUGCCCAGCUGGGAUUAGCUAGUAGGUGGGGUAAAGGCUCACCUAGGCGACGAUCCCUAGCUGGUCUGAGAGGAUGACCAGCCACACGGGAACUUGGACACGGUCCAGACUCCAAGGGGAGGCAGGAGGGGGGAGUAUGGCACAAUGGGCGCAAGCCUGAUGCAGCCAUGCGGCGUGUAGGAAGAAGGCCUUCGGGUUGUAAAGUACUUUAAGCGAGGAGGCGUUACUCGCAGAAGAAGCACCGGCUAACUCCGUGCCAGCAGCCGCGGUAAUAC